rnacentral:lncRNA from 1 species
GUCAAAUGGUGGCUCCAUUCCAAGUUUUCUAAGGAAUCUCCAUACUGCUUUCCAGAGUGGUUGCAGUCCCAUCAGCAAUGUAUGAGUGUGCCCCUCCCCCUCACCGCAUCCUCGCCAACGCUUUUUGUUAUCUGUAAUCUUGAUAGCUGCCAUUCUGACUGGCGUGAGAUGAAAUCUUAGAGUAGUUUUGAUUUGCAUUUCUCUAAUGACUGAAGAUGUUGAACAUUUUUUCAUAUAUUUGUUGAUUGAUUGUAUAUCUUCUUCUGAGAAGUGUCUUUUCAGCUCCUUAGUCCAUUUAUUGAUUGGUUUUUUUGGUGUUAAAUUUUUUGAGUUCUUUAUAUAUCCUGGAGAUUAGUGCUCUAUCUGAUGUGUGUGUGGCAAAAAUUUGCUCCCAAAUGAAAGUCUCUCUUCACCUCAUUGAUCGUUUCUUUUGCUGAGAAGCAGCCUUUUUAGUUUGAACCCAUCCCAUUUAUUAAUUCUUGAUUUUAAUUCUUGUGCUUUAGGAGUUUUGUUAAGGAAGUCAGGGCCUAAUCUGAAGACGUGAUGGAGAUUUGGGCCUACUUUUUCUUCUAUCAGGUGCAGGGUCUCUGGUCUAAUUCCUAGGUCCUUGAUCCACUUUGAGUUGAGCUUUGUGCAUGGUGACAGAUAGGGGUUUAGUUUCAUUUUGCUGCACAUGGAUUUCCAGUUUUCCCAGCACUAUUUGUUGAAGAGUCUACCUUUUCUCCAAUGCAUGUUCUUGGCGUCUUUGUCUAGUAUGAGAUAACUGUAUUUAUGUGGGUUUGUCUCUGUGUCUUCUAUUCUGUACCACUGCUCUACAUGUCUAUUUUGGUGACAAUACCAUGCUGUUUUGAAUAUUCCUCUUCUCAUUGUUAUUUUGUGCCACAGUGCUGCAUGGUGGCUGCCAGGCCCUGUGGCACAUCCUGUGGUGGCUGCCCCAGGGAAGUGCAAGUGUAUCUAUGGUAUGUGGCCAUACCACUGUGCUGGCUUCCACAUUUCACAGUGAGAAGGAACAAGCAGAGGUGGGGUUGGGGGGCAGAUGCAAUUAGAGGGGCUCAUUGAUAACUCUGAGGUCUCAUGUCAUAUACCAACAGAGACAGCAAGCAUUCUGGAAGAUGCCCUGGAUCCCACUCAAUGUGUGAUAGAGACACUGUCAGUUGCCUAUCAAAUGUUGUUGCUAUUACUCUUUACUGAUGGCCAUAGGAUGUGAUGGUCAUUACUGGUAGUGGGUAGGGUGACCAAAGUGCUCCCCAGGCACCCCCUGUCUAGACCCUGCAUGUGCCCCCUGGUGAGGCUGGGUCACAGGGUGACAUUGGGAUCCCAAGGCAGGGGGAUCUGCACUGUGCAC